GGAAGGGGGACACGUGACCGCCCGGCUGGGCAGCCCGGCGCGCCCCACCCGCUAUGGGCACCCCAUCUUCCAUCCUGGAAAAGCCGGGGAACACAGGGAAGGCGGGGGAGCACGCAGGGUGCAACCAGCCCCUUUAGCUGCAGUGCUGGGUGAUCACCGCAGCUGAACCUGGGAAGAAGGCUCUCUCACUCUACCAGCCGGCCUUCACUGUCCUCCGCCCUGCCCUUGGCAGUAGAACCCUCCCUUCUCGGCUGCAGCUCACACACACACACACACACACACACACACACACACACACACACACACACACACACACACACACACACACACACACACAGAGGCACUGACACUCUGGGUAGACCACCGUCACUUCAUAGUUAAGAGUGACCGCUCCCCUCCCUGCCUCUCCUUUCUGAGCACCGGCUUAGGGUCCAGGAGAGCAGCUUAAGGCGAUGCAUUGCAGACACGGCUCAGCUCAAAGGCUAGAAAGCCCCCCCGCCGCCGCCGCCGCCACGCACGACUGGACCACGCCCGGGGAUGCCCGAUAACUCUCAGGGAGUUUUGUACUGGAUUUGGUCGUGGAUGCGGUUUCCGGCCAAGGUGGCCACUGCAGAGUCCAAGGUACAGAAGGAGAAGAAGGCGGGACUCUGGCCCUUGGUCCUUUUGCGCUCCACCUUCACUCCCAGCCUCCAUCCGCGAUGCUACACCCACCUUGACCCAGAUGGCCUUUCCCUAAUCCUUUCUUGAUGUGAUCACGCCCUGUUGAGAAAGCGCCCAACAGCCCGCAUGGAGGGAGUGACAUUGAACCCGACAGGUCGCUGCAGAGCGUUUGCCUUUAACGUCCUCCUACGGCUUGGUCCGAGGUCUGUGGAGCUGUGUCUUUGGAGUGACCACACCUUGUGUGGGCUGGGAGAAGCUGCUUUAUGGUGGCGGGUGGGGCAGGUUAAUAAAGUGCAGAAUUUGUCCUGGUUUUUACUCUAAAAGGCAGCCGGUAGUAUCGACAGGUUAAUCUUGGUAAGCUGAGAAGAGGGCGUGGUGGAAGGGGACAAAUGGCAGCUUGGGGGUCCCGGGAUAAUAUGGAUUUCAGAGGCUUCCUGUCUGCGGGCAUGCCCUAGAGCUGCGUUAAGUGUCACUAUUCCCUUCCAUAGUGCAGACACCAGCAAGAGUCUGGGCCUGCCAUUUCCCCGGUUCAUUCUUAGAGCGGAACAGGCCUGCCAGGAUCAUAGGUGGCAGGUAUCCUUGCAGGCACCUUACUGCCCCUGUCGUCUCCACCGCACCCACUGCAGAGUUGCUGCGACAGUGGGACCGCUACCUUCUGCCCCCUCCUUGUUGGCUGUUCACCUCUCGCCCCGCCCACCACCUUCCUUCCCCAGCGCGUUCCGCUGCACGCCCAACAGGCACGCGUGGAUGCCUAGGGCUGGGAGCAGCCUUUGCAGAGCGCCUACGACGGCGAUCCGCAGCCGGGUCGCGGUUGCCCCAGCUCCGGGUGCACCCACGUGGAAAACGCCGGCUACCGCAGGGUCCCGGGCUCAGCUGCGGCCAGAGUUCCCGCGAAACCCCAAGGUGUUCCGCAGGUCAAUGUCCAUCUGUCUCCGCCCCACCACCCCUAGUCAGGAUGUGAAGGGAAGGUUUGGAAGCUCCAGUGUCCCCAGCUAUCCCUGGACAAAGCCUCCCGCUUUCCGGCUUCCCACUCCGGAAAUUCAAGGAGGCCGGGGCCGCGGGGAAGGGACACGCGUGGAGAGCGCCUUGAGGCGUCUGGCCAGGAUGCGGUGCCGGCCGUGUCCCAGCCUUGCCUAGCGCGGUUGCUCCCGCGCCUGCAUCCGCGCCGAGGUGCUGCAGAGCGCAGG